GCCAUAGGCAAACCACCCCGCUUUGCCAGAGAACAGCGGGGUCUAGUGGGAUUUCUAGUCUUGGUUUUUUGCCGAAUUGCUAUACUGAUUUCCAUACUGGUUGCUCAAGUUUUCAUUCCCACCAGUAAAGUGCAGAAUACCGUAGUGUAGGUCAUAGAAAGCAGGAAGAUGGAUCUUUCCCAGGAGGAAAGAGGAGGCGAAGGGGUGAAAACAAUUAAGAUGCGUGUGCAGGCACGGCCUCUACACAAGCAAUGUGAUCGCCAAGUACUGUAAACUUGUACAAACAAAACAAAAUCAAUUUUAGAAAAAAGAGUAAAGCUCCAGUUUCCUAGGGCGGCCCUGGAGACCCCUCCACGCAGCCACGCCUCCUGCGCCGCCUUGGCGGUGAGCUUCCGAGGUUAAUCCACGGAUGAGAACAGCGCCCGUGAUGCGGUCACUGCUGCAGGGCUCUCCUAGUCCAGUUACAGGGACAGACGUAUGGCGAGCCAUUAUGGUGAGCCUUGACACAGGCCUAGCCAUGAUUGAACUUUGAGUCACCUCGCUGGCACGGACGUGCUCUCCCCCAUAGCCACGGGCGAGUUCAGCUAGUAGCAGAUGUAACCCAUAAUGGUCGUUAUUGAUUCCCUCUGGAAUGUGUGGGCGGUACUCUCGCUCCCGUGUAGCCCUCGCUCCCAUGCAGCUGGAGAGUAUAAAAGGAAGAGGUGCUGUAAUAAAGAAAGCAAGCAACAUAAGAAAAAAGGUGCCUCCCGUCUUUCUGUCCUCAUCCUUUCAGGUUUAGGACCUGCUGGCAGGAUCCUGACGUCGCGCCUCGCGACACAGACGGACUCCCACUGUCCAGACCAACUUCUGGAAAGAGGAGCUUUAAAAAAAAAAAAAAAUCAGCAGCAGCUCGGGCUGGGCUGCACCCCGCGAAGGAGCGCUCGCCUUGGGGGCCACAAAGCCCGGGGCUCCGUCCGCACCCCAGGAAAAAGCUCCGCUGGGCAGGCCAGGGUUGGAACCCACAUGCUGUCCAGAGCCCCACCCCAGCCCCACAGCUGAUCUGCAUGGAGAAAUGUGUUCCCUGGUUCGACUCAGGGGUGAGUUGUCCCUGCAGGCCCACGGCACAGAGCUGGCCAAGCGUGUGGGAGGCCGCGGGCUCCGAGAUGAGCACCAAAGGGAGGAGAGCCUUUGCUUUACGUGCAUUUGUUCCAUCAGGCUCUGCAAGGGUGUUUUCGAGGCAGGGCACCAAGGAAUCUAAAAGUGUUACAGGGCAGCAAGUUGUCUGAUACAGGCGAAAAUAAUAGAAACAAGGGAAGUGUAACUCACAACGUGCUGGAUAUCUGGGUCUCGAGUUCACGUUCUCUAAAACUGAAGAACGAACUCUAGAAAAGACAGAAGUUAAGAGCAGGAAAAAUUAGGGCCAGGACAUGUGUAGACACAACUCCCCUUUUGUCUCCGGUCACAGCUAAGACCCCAAUGGUCCCUCGAUGCUGUGACGUGACACUCCAGGGAAGGGUUACAUUAGCUGAAGCCGUCCUAGGGAGGGACAACAACACAAGUGCCUCUUCUACCUACGAUCUUCAUCUGUGAAAGUUCCUCAUCGUUCUAGGAUAUCACAGCCACCCUCUGAGUCCUCUGUUACUCCGGAUGCACUGAAUAAAGGUGUGGUGAGCUCAGGGCCCUUCAUCUUCGCUACCUGGAGCAGCACUGAUCAGGCCCAAAGCUCAAAAAAAAAAAAAAAAAAAAAAAAAAAAAAUUCAGGGCCAGGGAUGUAGCUCAGUGGUGCCACACCUGCUUAGCAAGUACAAGGUCCGGAGUUCAAUCCCUGAUACUGGGGAGAAAAAAGAAUAGGAAAAAUUUAUUGAGAGAAAGAUAGCUUCUGCCUAAGACAGAGUGAGGACCAGAAAGUAGGUCUGUUUUUCAAAGGUAUUUUACAGGGCAAAGCCAUGAGGUGAGGUGGGUACAAAGUGGGACAAAACUACAAGAUCCAACGGAAAAUCACCAGGUGGGCAUGAGGUGGGACAAAACCUUAAUAAGAUUACAAACACAGCCACCCAGGUAAUACUGAUUAAAUGAGCAUUAAAUGGGAAAAUAAGUCACAUAGCAAGCAUACAAGGACUUUCCAGAAAGGAAAUAAGCUAGGGGGAUUGAUGCCUCUUUAGAGUAUUAAUCACUGCAAUUUAUUCCCAGGGGAAGUAAAUGGGCACAGUACUGUACUUCUUUUUCUAAUGCUAACCAGUGCCUGUGUCUUGAUUGUCUUUUGUAUUGGCUCAUCUGGGGCUGGCCCUGUCUACCCAACUGUGGGAUACCUAAUUAACUUACCUAUCUACACUACCCCCCCAAGAAGUACAUCUAACUGCUGUGAGGGGACAAGGGGUUCUGGCUACGGAGUUGUGAUCUGCACUCAGAGAUACACCACAGAGGGUCUGCCUAAAGGUCCUUGACAGAUGCUAGGUGUUCUCAUCCUGGGUAGCCCUAUAGCUUUGAGUCUGGAGGAGACAAAGCCAAAGGAAAAGUUAAGAAUACAUGGGCCAAAUAAUAUCAGCAAGACUGUUAUGAAUAUGGCCAACAAGCAUUUCCACCAG
rnacentral:lncRNA from 1 species